UACGGGGGGGGCAAGCGUUGUUCGGAAUUACUGGGCGUAAAGGGCUCGUAGGCGGCCAACUAAGUCGGAUGUGAAAUCCCCAGGCUCAACUUGGGAACUGCAUCCGAUACUGGAUGGCUUGAAUCCGGGAGAGGGAUGCAGAAUUCCAGGUGUAGCGGUGAAAUGCGUAGAUAUCUGGAGGAAUACCGGUGGCGAAGGCGGCAUCCUGGACCGGCAUUGACGCUGAUGAGCGAAAGCUAGGGGAGCAAACGGGG
rnacentral:rRNA from 1 species